rnacentral:rRNA from 1 species
AUUGAACGCUGGCGGCAGGCCUAACACAUGCAAGUCGAGCGCAGCGUCGGACGGGGGAGUAAGGCCUAGGAAUCUGCCUGGUGGUGGGCGAUAACGUCCGGGAACGGGCGCUAAUACCACAUAAUUUCAGAUGAGCCUAGGUCGGAUUAGCUAGUUGGUGGGGUAAUGGCCUACCAAGGCGACGAUCCGUAACGGGUCUGAGAGGAUGAUCAGUCACACUGGAACUGAGACACGGUCCAGACUCCUACGGGAGGCAGCAGUGGGGAUUUUUGGACAAUGGGCGAAAGCCUGAUCCAGCAAUGCCGCGUGUGUGAAGAAGGUCUUCGGAUUGUAAAGCACUUUAAGUUGGGAGGCGGUACCAAAAGAGUAAGCAACGGCUAACUACGUGCCAGCAGCCGCGGUAAUAC